UAUGGUGGUUAUACCAAGGGUGUUCACCUCUUCCCAUCCCGAACAGAGAAGUUAAGCCCCUUAUGGCCGAUGGUACUGCACAACAAUGCGGGAGAGUAGGUAGCUGCCAUAUUUAUUAGCCAAAAGCCUUGCAAUCUGUUUUGCAAGGCUUUU
rnacentral:rRNA from 1 species